CAUCGCUUGGGUUUCUCUCACACUGCCGUUACAUCAUUCACCCCCAUUUUCUCCUCAGCUUUUCCAUCUCUCUUCUGACUAUGAAUGGCUACCCCUUUGGAUUUACUUCACAUCAUCUUCAAUGAGCAAGCAAUAUAUUACGUGAAGCACGAAGUUAACAUCACCCUGCAGCUGCCACAAUAGACGAUGGUAGCGAUUAGCAGAGGUCGGUGGCUGUUAAAGAGCGAUGGUCAUCUACACAAUCGCUUUUCUUCUUCCUUUCAUCUUAAUGCUGACCAUGGAGGGUUCAAGAUUUUCAAUAAGGAGGCCAUUCCUAUUGUGGUUGUGUACUGUUGUGCGUAAAAAAAAUAUAUGUGUAUCUCGGGUUCGAUAAAAAGCUUCUUGAACUCUUCUUUCAUCUGGAUGUUGGUUACAGGUUCUACGUGCUUCUUAGCCUGAUGAAGCAAUGACACAUUGGAGAGAAUCGCAGAAUACACCUCGGAACUUAAGUAGUGAAGGCAGGCGAGCGUCGUUUCGCAGCCCUAUGGUGGAAAUUGAAGUUCUGCUUCUGAGAGACUGAAUUUGAGGAACUUUGUGGUUUAUUGGCUUUCUGACACGACUUGUUGAGUGUGUCUCUAAAAAAAGCAGUUUCAUGUAUUGUUUUUUCUAAUAAUUAGCGGCUUUGGGCUUAUGAUUCUUUCACUCUGCAGUGAUGAAUUGAUGGGGGCCAAAUUGAAAAGUAAUGAGCUCCAAAUGCCGAAUCCAGAUUUUCAGUUUCCUCAAGUACCAAACUCUUUGGCCAACUGGCCUCUUAUUCCCUUAUUCCCAAGUCUGUAGAACCAUUGAUCACAUUUUGAUUUGGUUAUAAGUGAACUGGUGGGAUCCUGGUGGUGUAGACAAAUAAGUGAACUACAAUCCAAAAUUGAGGAGCUGGGUGACAAAGUGGAGGAAUUCAAUCAGUCCAAGUUCUUGCUUCAGAUGAUACAUCUGGAGAAGUCUCUAUACAAAAUCGAGCAUCUCGAUGAUAGUUUGCAGUUUCUUCAUUCAAGAGUGGUAUGAUUUCAGAUGAAACAUACAAGCUUUUGAACCUGCUAUGUGAUUCUCAGUCACUCAUACACCCAUCACACUCAUGUGAAAAUAUUACUGAAAUUGCUCAUAAAGAACUUGGCAAUAUAGAUCCAUACAACAUCUUUACUCCUGCUUGCCAUGCUAAUGUUAGCCAGUCAAGUCAGCCAGUGAAAAGAAAGCAUAGAUUUGGUAGACUCGGUGCUGGGUAUGAUCCUUGCACAGCGGAGCACUCCACUAUAUACUUCAAUCUACCUGAGGUCCAAAGGAUUCUUCAUGUUGAUCCAAAUCAUAAGCCUGCUAAAUGGAAGGCCUGCAGGAGGAAUAUUCUAAUGCUUUGGAAGUGAUUUAUCCAUUAAUAUGGGCUAUAUGGAAGCGAGGCUGUAGGAAGGUGUUUCAGAACAAACACUGGAGAUGGCUCGGUCCAAUAUUUUUAGGCCGAAUAGAUUUGAUUUUAUAUGGAGGGAUUAUCAUGGUGAAGUACCUUGCUGCAACUUCCUUAUUCAACCCAAAUGUGGGCUAUCUGUUUAACGCGACACCAAUGUGUUCAAAAAAUAAGUGUCAAUGCAUACAUUAAAUUUUUUUUUUAAAAGUCACCAAUGAGUAUGAAUUGAUCAUUUGUGGUGAAUUGAUAUG